rnacentral:rRNA from 3 species
GUGUGGAAGUGCAGUAAUGCAUUAAGCUAACUGAUACUAAUUGCCCGUACGGCUUGUCCCUAUAACCUUAGCAGGUUAU